UGCCUGGCGCUUAUUGCAGAACCAGACACGAACCACUUCACGGUCGUAAUUGAGCUGCUCGGCCAGCUCGGUCAUCUCGGCUCCUGCACAGCACAGUGUCAAGGUAUCCUCAACUGGGAUGGCUAACAAUGGCCCCUGCAACAUCUGUGGUCGCAGAGAAACAACUGGACAUCUAUUUGACUGCUUUUCCGUUGAAGGUAAACAACUUGCUCUCCACGCCAGCCUUGCCCAGCAAAAUGGAAGGUCUUCCUCUGAGAGCAGUAUCUUGGGGUCGUGACCUCACAGCAGCAGAAAGCCACAAGAGUACUGCUGAGGUUUCUGAAGUCUGCCAGAGUAAGCAGCCAUUCAUGAGGCAGUGAUGAACAAUACAGUUUGCC